GGAAAAAAAAAAAUCAUAGAGUACCUUAAAUGAUGUCCCUCAAAUAAAAUUAUUUGAGGGAUCCCUCAAGAGAAAGAGACUAUAUAUACACGCGUUGAAAGUGCAUAUCUAGUUCUUAUUGCUCGAACAUAAGUACCGUUUAUAUAUCAAUUGCACGUAUGUAUUAAUUGUUAUGAUUGAUAUUUUAAUCUUAUUGAACAUCUUAGCUCUCGGUCUUCCGGUUGAAAAAUGACGUUGCCCUUGAUGUGAUUCCAUGAGUGUGUUAGUGUGUGCGGCCUAAUGAGUUUGUGUAAUUAGUAACUUCCAUUUAUGGAAGGAGUCUUUCGUCUGAGUUGUGGUGCAUCUCAAUUUUAAUGAAAGAGUGUUUUUCAACUUACUCCACUUAUUCUUUCCAUAUAAAAUGGGUCUUGAAAGGAAGCUCAACAACGGCUCAAGGAGAUGGAAAGAAAAGGCUCUACUAUUUCCACAAGCACCACUGAACAAGCUCUCAAACAAGAUGGGCCUCUAGAUGAAGCUGGAAUACUGCACAAGGAGUUG